UAACAAUAAUAAUAAUAAUAAUAAUAAUAAUAAUAAUAAUAAUAAUGAAACGUGAAACCUGACGGAGUUCUCUUUACCCAGAAUCCAGUUACAGACAUGCCCAGUGGGGGUGUCCACGUAGCCCCUGUGCCUGUGUAAGAAUGAACAGCAGGCAGACGGUGCCCAUGUGAUUAGAUGGGAGGCAGCGAUUGGCCAGAAAACAGCCUCGCUGUUUCACCACCUUGAUGGCGCUGGCAUCAAACAGCAGAGCAAAAACGCCACCCUUUCCAAAUUCCUGGGAAGGGUAGUGGAGUGGGAUGAGUAGCCAGGACGCCACCAUCACAGAUAAUGAGGGGUGGGAGGGAGACAUCGCAAAAUCACGGACGGGUACCUGAGCUGACAGAAUGGAUCGGACACAAGCAACGGAGAGUGAAUUGUACCCUGACAAUAAUACUGAAUCAUUCCAUCGAAUCCACCCUUAAUGUAAACAUUUUGCCUUUCAUCAUAAUCAUUCAUUUAAUGAAUAAAAUAUUAACCAACAUAAUUUAUAACAGCGCAGGUCCCUAUGAGGCUCUAAACCCAUCCUGCGACCUCGUACUGCACAGGCAGUAGUGGGAUGGAUAGAGGGUUGCAUUUCAUGUGAUAAAUUCAUUUAAUACAACCACAACAGCCUUUUGCCGGAAAGUGAUGACUCUUUACCUACUUUGACUUCAUGGUGUGGGAUGCUCUUUCAAAAAAGAAAAGGUUGCAUUUACUUUUCUGUUGCCAUGACUACACUGGCAUGAAUACCGGGCCGGACGGCAUAAGCAGGCAUGUUCUGAAAACUCAUUCAGUCCCCUUUUUGGACUGCAGUGUCACUGUCCAGAAAUAGCCAGGGCCCAGUUCUGUCUCCGUUCUGUAAAUUGCAGAAUAAGUUGGAGGAUUUUGACCGAGCAGCCUACCAUACCCCCCCCCCCCCCCCACCCCCACCAAAUGAAGACACACAGUUUGUAACUGGCAAUGUCAGGGGUCCUUGCAUAGCUAAAAAAAAAAGUUAUAAUAAGCUUGAGGUUGACAACCUUGAUUUAAAAUAAAGUUACUCAGAAAUACCAUUUGUAAUCCUACAUUUCAUGCUGGUACAUGGCCCUCAAAACUACUUUCCUUAUAAAAUGCUCUAUAAAUUUGACCUUCGCUUGUACUGUGGACACAAUUUGGGGGGAGGGGAUCGGUUCUUUAACGGAGCACCAUGGUUACCUUGGAAACAUAAAUGUAUAUAUUAUGGUUUGUCACUGCUUCAGGAUUAAGUCACACCUUGAUAAACCUGCUGUCGUACUGUAAUAUAAUUUCCAAAAAACACAAAA